rnacentral:rRNA from 1 species
GUGGUUUAGCGGCGGACGGGUGAGUAACACGUGGGCAACCUGCCCUGCAGAUCGGGAUAACUCCGGGAAACCGGUGCUAAUACCGAAUAGUUUGCGGCCUCUCAUGAGGCUGCACGGAAAGACGGUUUCGGCUGUCACUGCAGGAUGGGCCCGCGGCGCAUUAGCUAGUUGGUGAGGUAACGGCUCACCAAGGCCACGAUGCGUAGCCGACCUGAGAGGGUGAUCGGCCACACUGGGACUGAGACACGGCCCAGACUCCUACGGGAGGCAGCAGUGGGGAAUAUUGGACAAUGGGGGGAACCCUGAUCCAGCCAUGCCGCGUGUGUGAAGAAGGCCUUAUGGUUGUAAAGCACUUUAAGCGAGGAGGAGGCUACCUAGAUUAAUACUCUAGGAUAGUGGACGUUACUCGCAGAAUAAGCACCGGCUAACUCUGUGCCAGCAGCCGCGGUAAUACAGAGGGUGCGAGCGUUAAUCGGAUUUACUGGGCGUAAAGCGUGCGUAGGUGGCUAAUUAAGUCAAAUGUGAAAUCCCCGAGCUUAACUUGGGA